rnacentral:rRNA from 1 species
UCUACGGGAGGCAGCAGUGAGGAAUAUUGGUCAAUGGACGAGAGUCUGAACCAGCCAAGUAGCGUGAAGGAUGACUGCCCUAUGGGUUGUAAACUUCUUUUAUAAAGGAAUAAAACGAGGCACGUGUGCCUUUUUGCAUGUACUUUAUGAAUAAGGAUCGGCUAACUCCGUGCCAGCAGCCGCGGUAAUACGGAGGAUGCGAGCGUUAUCCGGAUUUAUUGGGUUUAAAGGGAGCGUAGAUGGGUUGUUAAGUCAGUUGUGAAAGUUUGCGGCUCAAACGUAAAAUUGCAAUUGAUACUGGGAGGCUUGAGAAUGUUUAGGGCAGGUGGAAUGCGUGGUGUAGCGGUGAAAUGCUUAGAUAUCACGCAGAACCCCGAUUGCGAAGGCAGCCUGCCAAGCCAUGACUGACGCUGAUGCACGAAAGCGUGGGGAUCAAACAGGAUUAGAUACCCGGGUAGUC